GAUAAACGCUGGCGGCGUGCUUAACACAUGCAAGUCGAACGAAGUUUUUCUUUCGGGAGGAACUUAGUGGCGGACGGGGGAGUAACGCGUGGGUAACCUGCCCUGUACAGGGGGACAACAGCUGGAAACGGCUGCUAAUACCGCAUAAGCCCUUAGCACUGCAUGGUGCAUAGGGAAAAGGAGCAAUCCGGUACAGGAUGGACCCGCGUCUGAUUAGCCAGUUGGCAGGGUAACGGCCUACCAAAGCGACGAUCAGUAGCCGAUCUGAGAGGAUGUACGGCCACAUUGGGACUGAGACACGGCCCAGACUCCUACGGAAGGCAGCAGUGGGGAAUAUUGCACAAUGGAGGAAACUCUGAUGCAGCGACGCCGCGUGAGUGAAGAAGUAUUUCGGUAUGUAAAGCUCUAUCAGCAGGAAAGAAAAUGACGGUACCUGACUAAGAAGCACCGGCUAAAUACGUG
rnacentral:rRNA from 1 species